rnacentral:rRNA from 1 species
UGGGGAAUAUUGCACAAUGGAGGAAACUCUGAUGCAGCGAUGCCGCGUGAGGGAAGAAGGUUUUAGGAUUGUAAACCUCUGUCUUCAGGGACGAAAAAAGACGGUACCUGAGGAGGAAGCUCCGGCUAACUACGUGCCAGCAGCCGCGGUAAUACGUAGGGAGCGAGCGUUGUCCGGAAUGACUGGGUGUAAAGGGAGCGUAGGCGGGAUGGCAAGUCAGAUGUGAAACCUGAGGGCUCAACCUUCAGACUGCAUUUGAAACUGCUGUUCUUGAGUGAAGUAGAGGUAAGCGGAAUUCCUGGUGUAGCGGUGAAAUGCGUAGAGAUCAGGAGGAACAUCGGUGGCGAAGGCGGCUUACUGGGCUUUUACUGACGCUGAGGCUCGAAAGCGUGGGGAGCAAACAGGAUUAGAUACCCUGGUAGUCCACGCUGUAAACGAUGAUUACUAGGUGUGGGGGGAUUGACCCCUUCCGUGCCGCAGUUAACACAAUAAGUAAUCCACCUGGGGAGUACGACCGCAAGGUUGAAACUCAAAGGAAUUGACGGGGGCCCGCACAAGCAGUGGAGUAUGUGGUUUAAUUCGAAGCAACGCGAAGAACCUUACCAGGUCUUGACAUCGAGUGACGUAUCCAGAGAUGGAUAUUUCCUUCGGGACACAAAGACAGGUGGUGCAUGGUUGUCGUCAGCUCGUGUCGUGAGAUGUUGGGUUAAGUCCCGCAACGAGCGCAACCCUUAUCAUUAGUUGCUACGCAAGAGCACUCUAAUGAGACUGCCGUUGACAAAACGGAGGAAGGUGGGGAUGACGUCAAAUCAUCAUGCCCCUUAUGACCUGGGCUACACACGUACUACAAUGGCGAUCAAACAGAGGGAAGCAAGACAGCGAUGUGGAGCCAAUCCCAAAAAAUCGCCCCAGUUCAGAUUGCAGGCUGCAACUCGCCUGCAUGAAGUCGGAAUUGCUAGUAAUCGCAGAUCAGCAUGCUGCGGUGAAUACGUUCCC